rnacentral:rRNA from 1 species
AAUGAACGUUGGCGGCGUGGAUUAGGCAUGCAAGUCGAGCGAGAACCCAGCAAUGGGGGACAGCGGCGCAAGGGACGGUAAUGUGUAGAUCAUCUGCCCUCAGGCCCGGGAUAGCUGCGGGAAACUGCAGGUAAUACCGGAUAACAUCUCCGGAUCAAAGGUGCGAUUCCGCCUGAGGAUGAGUUUACAUCCUAUUAGCCAGUUGGCAGGGUAACGGCCUACCAAGGCGAUGAUGGGUAGCGGGUGUGAGAGCACGACCCGCGUCAUUGGGACUGAGACACUGCCCAGACACCUACGGGUGGCUGCAGUCGAGAAUCUUCGGCAAUGGGCGCAAGCCUGACCGAGCGACGCCGCGUGCGGGAUGAAGGCCUUCGGGUUGUAAACCGCUGUCAGAGGGGAUGAAAUACAGGUGGGUUCUCCCAUCUGUUUGACGUAGCCUCAGAGGAAGGACGGGCUAAGUUCGUGCCAGCCGCCGCGGUAAAAC